UACGGAGGAUGCGAGCGUUAUCCGGAUUUAUUGGGUUUAAAGGGUGCGUAGGCGGGAGAUUAAGUCAGUGGUGAAAGCGUGCGGCUCAACCGUACCAAGCCAUUGAAACUGGUUUUCUUGAGUGCAAACGAGGUAGGCGGAAUGUGACGUGUAGCGGUGAAAUGCUUAGAUAUGUCCCAGAACUCCGAUUGCGAAGGCAGCUUACCAGGAUGCAACUGACGCUGAGGCACGAAAGCGUGGGUAUCAAACA
rnacentral:rRNA from 1 species